UAAGUACAGAUAAUGAUUUUUUUCGAAGGCACCCUUUCCUUCGGCGACUCUCCUUCGACAAGGAAAAUUUUUUUUCGGUAAAAUUGGUAAAAUCUAUUAGUCGCCACUGUCCUGAGCUCACAUAUCUACAUCUUGUUUUGAAAGAUCCGGAAGAAGGUUAUUUAGAGUCACUGGUGCAACUAACUAAGCUGAAGCAUCUCUCAUUAGAAGGAAUAGCGGAAAGAAAAAUGUUUCGUGGAGCUUUCAAACUACUCGAAUCAGUUGCAUUGGACGUGGUUCCACCUCGAGUUCUGCUAGAGAACCUUUCUGAAGUUGCGCCACGGUUGAAUUAUUUGAAACUCGAUAAGUGCGUCGACAGUUUGGAGGUACAAUUCAUCUGCGAGAGGUUUUCUUGUCUCCAACACUUACAAGUAGGAAUGAAAUGUUUGAGAGCAGCACACAAUUCUGUACGAUUUGAUAAGUUAGCAAAAUUGCAGGAACUUACAUUACGGAGAUAUGAUGGCAUUCGUUACAUUCAUAGCAGCAACGUUCGAUGCUUGACAAUGUUCAAUUGUGCGAUAGAGGACGAUAAACUUAAACAGAUACCGACAAAGUUCCCUUUGCUAAAGAGAUUAAGCAUCGAUAGCUGUUUCAACGUGUCUAUGAGUGGUGUCAAACGGCUACAUAAAUUGAUGCCCUCUUGCAGAAUCGACUAU